rnacentral:lncRNA from 1 species
CUGAUGUAUGAGCUGCACAGAAAGUUCACCAAACCACCCAAAGCCAUUGCCAUAGGCAUCCGAACUGCAAGCCAGCACAAGAAGUUGAUGCUUUCAUACACUUUCCAAGAUGUCAGAACAAGGUUCCAAAUCAUAAUAAGAAUUCACUCCUUACCUAGAAGUAAAAAAAGAGGACACACUUUUGAACUGCUCACAUGACCACACCAUUCUGCGGGGACGUCCUUGUGUUGAGGGGAGGUCUGAAGUCCAUGGAAGAAGACGCAGUGGCUGCUGGAGCUCGUGCAGAGGAAGGGACCCUCAGAAGGACAGAUGAACUGUCAGUGGCAGGAAAAAUGGUGGGCACAUUUCCAGAAUGACAAAUGGGAGACGCAAUCGUGACAUCUCCAGGCGGGGGAAGCAUAGGAGGAAGAGGUUGUUCUCUCAGGAAGUUGCCUCCUAGCCUCCGACGAGGCCUUUCCUAUCAC